CCCUUAGAUGUUCUGGGCCGCACGCGCGCUACACUGAUGAAUUCAACGAGCACUAACCUGUGCAGAAAUGUUCGGGUAAUCUUGUGAAAUUUCAUCGUGAUGGGGAUUGAUUAUUGCAAUUAUUAAUCAUAAACGAGGAAUGCCUAGUAAGCGUGAGUCAUCAGCUCACGUUGAUUACGUCCCUGCCCUUUGUACACACCGCCCGUCGCUCCUACCGAUUGGGUGUGCUGGUGAAAUGUUCGGAUCGGCCGUUUGUCGCGGUUUCCGCGUCAUGUGGCUGAGAAGUUCAUUAAACCCUCCCACCUAGAGGAAGGAGAAGUCGUAACA
rnacentral:rRNA from 1 species